UUGGAGCCAUCAGUGAGAUACCACUCUUGUAAAACUAGAAAUCUAACUUUACACCAUUAUCUGGUUAAAAGACAGUCUCAGGCGGGCAGUUUGACUGGGGCGGUCGCCUCCUAAAAGGUAACGGAGGCGUACAAAGGUUUCCUCAAAUCGGUCAGACAUCGAUUGUAGAGCGUAAAGGCAUAUGGAAGCUUAACUGCGAGACCUACAAGUCGAGCAGGGUCGAAAGACGGACUUAGUGAUCCGGUGGUUCCGC
rnacentral:rRNA from 13 species